CUUUCCGCACAUGCCCAUUAGGGAGGCCGGGAGUCUGCGGUGGGGCCGCGCUUGCCCGGGUUCACCGUACCCGGGACCUCCGGGUAUCCCCUGGGCGGCUCCGGGCUCCAGCGGUGCCUCCCGGCGCGGGGCACGGUCUCCCCGUAAACCACGUGUUGAGCUUAAGGACCAGAGCGGGUGAAAACGUGUGUUUCUGACAAGGGGCAAAAGGCUGUUCGGGUUCCUGGCGCUUGUCAGCUGCCCCGGGCUCUUAGCUGUCAUCUCUUAGGUGCUGAUGUGCGGGCCCCGCUGCUGCCUGGCCUCCUGCGUGCCGGUGGGCGAAGGGGAAGUUUCAUUCUGAGGGUGUUACACCCGUUACGCUGUGUGAGCAGCAGCGGCUCCGUGGUGCGGUUAUUGGUGGGCUGACUGACGUCGUCCCUCCCUGUGCAUCUCUACAGUGUCUGACCCGAGAUCUUACUGUCAUACAGAGAGCUGCCUUGCCACCAUACCUGCUUCUUCCUUCACAACAAGGUUGUGCUUGAAGGCAAGACCUGUGUUUCGUAGCUUCCAGCAUGGCCAGUGAGGGGACUGUCUGACUGAGUGGAGCUGGGCAAUGGUCACCGAUGUCCCCUGGAUCUCCCAGUUCACUGUGUCCCAGCCCAGUGGGUGCACGCCUUGUGCUUCUUGUCACUGACAGCUCACAGAGAGCACUUGUCAUUGCUACUGGCAGUGUCGUAUUACUUUUGGUCUCCAUUAAUUGACUUUUAUCAUUACUCAGAAUGAAGGGGACUAUUAAUUAUUUCAGCGGGCAGCCAUUCCUCUACAGCUACGUCAGCAAAGCCAAUGUGAGCCCAGCACAGCCCUCAGCAUGCUGAGGUUGGGGUUUGUAGGCCAGCCUGGGCUGUAGGGAGCAGCCUUGUAGCUGCUGAGCACCCCCUGGCUCCACCUGUCUUCUACAGGGAGUGUGAGGGCAGGAUUUCCAUCAAGUCUGUGUGCCACUCCCCUACAGCUUUGAAUGGCACUUUACAGAAUAGGUGAGGAUGUCUCAUCGCUCUGGAGAGUUCCCAAACUAAAUUAAGGAGAGCAGAAUGGGAAGAGAUGACCAUCCAAUGAGGUGCAGGUGCUGGGAAGCUGGAUAAGGAUGGGGAGGACAAUGUGAUUAUGUCCUUUCAAAGUGAAUGCCUCAGGGCAGCCGCUUUUGGGGACAGUGUCAAAGGGAGAUGGAGAAAGGCGUGACUCAUAGAGAAAAGCAUCUGCUCAGGGUUUAUGUCUGCUCUUGAGAGCUGAACGCUUCUUUCAGACCUGUGCAAGGAGACCAGUGCUCUGCUGCUCCCUGUGACUUGGCACUACUAACCCCUUCUCCCUUCCUAAAGGGCUCCUGUGGAAGAAAAAGCUGAGAAGUGCUGGAGGAGGGGUUCCUGAUGGGUGACUUCAGAUGAGCAUGGAGGGCCUCUGGGAAAGGAAAGGUGGCGGAGCAGCUGGGAUGGCCACAGGAGUUAACAGGGGAGCAGAGUCAAAGGUCUCCCUAAUUCCAGGCUGGAUCCUGUCGCAGAGGGAAGAUUACCCAAAAGUACUGUUCCCUUCACUGAUGCAUACAACACAGGGAUGGCAAUCUGCUUAUGAUGAAAAGGGCGUUACAGAAACACCACAGGAAAUAAAUUCAAGAUGGCUGUUUCCAUACCUCCUGAGACAGGCGACUGGCGCAAUCAGCCUUGUUGAAAUUCCUCCUCCCGUGUCUGUGAGCCCCUAGCGUUCAUCGAAUGGAAGGGAGAAAAAAGGGUACUUGGGUCACUUGAGGACUGUGCAGACUUUCCAUUACUGGAGGAUAUUAAAGGCAGCGGAAUGAAUUGGAAAGCUGUGACCCGAGCAUAGCUAAUCCCACUUUGGGGCAGAAGGAUGGAUGAGGUGUUCCUGUGAUGUCUCAGUCCACCAGUGCUAUUUUCUGUGACUCAAGAGUAGGUUAGGUGUUCCACACACAUAUCUGAUAAAGUAAAAUAGUCUGCGACUUGUGAAUGCAGAGACAUUUAUUACUGAGAUGGAAGACAGCUCCCUAGCUCACCUACAAGAGCAGAAAUCACAGGCUUGUUGGUAGUCCCUGGCACAGCAGCCAAGCUGUAGAGGCAGCACCGGUCAGUCUAUCUCUCACCUGUUAAUGCUUUGCAUUCUGACUUUGAUGCCCUUUGUAGCCUUUGCCUCGGCUUUGUGUCUCUAAAGCUGUGAGUAAAGAGAAUUAUCUAAAUAUGAAUUACAGAUGUGCAGCUCUGGGACAGCACAGUCUGACUCAGAAUUUUCUUCAUGCUGCUCUGUCACGUUUGUCCACCUGCAUCUAGAUUGCAUAUUGAGUCAUAUUGACAGUGUAGUUGGCUAUAAAGUAAGAGACCUUCAGUAAAGGACAUUAAAAAAAAUCUCUUCUAUUUUUUUUUUUUUCCCCUCAGCUUUUCAGAGUGUGUGUGUGAACUGGUAUCAGGUUGGCUACGUUCUAAACUAUCACAGAUUUUCUACAUCAUAGACAGGACAAACCACAAGCACUGGUAGAAGUACAGACCAAGGGCUGAAAGCUCCAGGAAGCAGGUUUUGCCACUUCACCCCUUACCUUUGUUUCUCUAAGAUGGGGAUGAGAAAAGUUGCUUCUCACUGGGAGUGGAGAAAGCAGAAUCAGCAAUUUAUUGGCAUGUAGGAAAUACGAUGGGACUGUUGACCUGUGUAGUAUUCAGACCAGAGAAACUUUAUUCAUAAAAUCAUUCAUAACAUUCCCUUUGUUAUGCUUUAUCAGUUGUGUUUAAGUGCUGAAAUGUGCCAAGUGAUCCUAUGAAAAGUAAAAGGGAAGUGAGUUUUAGUUACUCUGUACUCAGCCCAUUUUCAGCUUCUGAGGAAAACACAGAUCCCAUAUAACCACUGUCAUAGCCAUGCCCCAGCCUCCUUUCUCAGCACACACCAGGCAAUUUCACCAGGUAAGUGCCUGACAAGAGUUUGGCUGUACUUCUGCACUGUUUCUCUGUCACAUCUUGAGCUGCUGCUGUCCUUUCUGUCUGUCACAAGCAUAUCUUUCUCCUGCAUUGCUGUAAGUACUUAGGAAGAAGUCUGUGUCUGCCUGCCUUCAGGAGAAAAUAGAAGAUCAAUUAGGAAUUUUAAGGAGCAAACUGAACAAGCAAAACGGGAGAUAUUAAAAGCAGGAGAUUGGCUAUUGGUACAUCCCUUAUGUUAAAUGUGAUCACUAGAGCACUUAAACAGCACUUGAAAAUGCCCUGUUACUUACUUACUUACUUACCCUGCAUUGCCAAGCAGAGAGUGUGCAGGGCGGUGGCUAAAGGUUUCUGAGGGCUGUGUUAGGGUAAGGCAUUAGCCUGUCUGGUGUUCUUUUUAAGUAAUAAAAAGCUUCCAUGACAAAACAAGAAACACACAAUGCUGAAAGUAAGUCACAGGUGUGCAUUUGAUGAACAGGUGAAAUGCACAGAGCAUUGAUGGAGGGCACUUAUAGAGCACAUUUUCAGUUCAGAAGUACUAGAGAUUUAAGCAGGUGUGUAUGCAAAGU